AGCGAACGCUGGCGGCAGGCUUAACACAUGCAAGUCGAACGGGCGUAGCAAUACGUCAGUGGCAGACGGGUGAGUAACGCGUGGGAACGUACCUUUUGGUUCGGAACAACCCAGGGAAACUUGGGCUAAUACCGGAUAAGCCCUUACGGGGAAAGAUUUAUCGCCGAAAGAUCGGCCCGCGUCUGAUUAGCUAGUUGGUGUGGUAACGGCGCACCAAGGCGACGAUCAGUAGCUGGUCUGAGAGGAUGAUCAGCCACAUUGGGACUGAGACACGGCCCAAACUCCUACGGGAGGCAGCAGUGGGGAAUAUUGGACAAUGGGCGCAAGCCUGAUCCAGCCAUGCCGCGUGAGUGAUGAAGGCCCUAGGGUUGUAAAGUUUCUUUUGUGCGGGAAGAUAAUGACGGUACCGCAAGAAUAA
rnacentral:rRNA from 1 species